rnacentral:lncRNA from 1 species
CAAACUACCAUACAUAUCUUUUAAAAAGGAUGCUAAGUUAAGAAGUUUAGAUAAAUCUACAAUAUAUUAUCAUCAAACCAAAGGAAGGAUAAUUAUUUAAAAGAAUAAGUUAUGUUAUGAUACAUAUAUAGAUUUGGAUGACAUCGCUUCAGGUGGUUUUACCAGUCAGGACUAACAGGGAUAUUAAUCAAAACAAU